ACAACAGAGAACUGGGCUUUAUGACCCACUAAGUUUUUCCAGCCCUGUGCCUGAAGACACAGGAGGCACUGGCAAAAGAAAUUCUGCUUGUUCAUGUAAGAAGGGAAGCUUUUAGAAAACUUUCGGAAGUAUGAAUACUGAGACCAUUUUAAGGCUAUCUUUUAACAAACAGCCAAAGCAAUAAAACCAAUACUAAAUCCAUAAAACAAAAGGAUUGGAUUGCUUAAGUAAAAAGAGGCCAGAGUGAAAGCCUGACAGGACAAAGAAGACCAGGAAUGAGGGAAGAAAAAACUCAGUUCCCUCUCCUGCAACCAAAAAUCGACUUUGUCAACAAAAGCAAGAGUUUUUUGGAGGGGCUUGAAGCAGGCAAUUUUACGGCAAAGAAGUCAGACUCUAUGUUUAAAUCCAUGCAACGAGGCAAGCAAGAACCUUACAAAGAUGGAGACAUGAGAAAGAACCAUCCUUGCUUAUUCUGUGCUUUGAGGACUGUUGGAAAUAGGCUGCUGACAGAAUUACAAAAGCUUGGAGUAUUACAAAGCCUGGAGCACUGGUUGUUUCAAUUACUGAUCCAAGAGCUUAAAGAGUUUUUAUUCAUAGAUGAUUUCAUGUACUUUUGACAGCUAAAGUGUARUGCAAAUAAGAGAAACUUAGAACGACAGAGAGAAAGCAUUGCACUAUCUAAUUUGAUGAAUUAAGGACACAGGUCUAGAUUUAAUGCCUCRGUAGAGUCACACACACUCAGAAUGGCAGUAAGAAACCUCAAAUGCUGAGCAAGAAGCUACUUAGAAAUCCCACUUUCUGAYAUUCCAGCCUAUUCUGAAUACUUCAGGACAGCUCCAAGAGACCCCCAUCUACACACCUGAACCCAAAGACAAGAAUUGUCUCCCGAUGAAUAUCAGAUAUCGGCUAAAAUAACUGAUCAUAGCUAUAGCUUUCCCUUUAAAACAUGACCAGAAGAGGUGCUGCUAUCCAGUUUUUCUGUAACGAAAAGGUUAUUAUAGUAUUCAGAGAAGAGAAAAUGUAACAGCCAGAUUUUGUUCUUCUUGACCUGWGAAGUUUCAAAUUUAUAGCUUCCACCUCAGUAGGUAGAUUCCUCCUGGAAAGAAACAGUUAUUCUAACACUUUACUGGGUAGAAAUGGUAUUCUCCAACUUUCUUGGUAAAAUUAGGCCACUGCCUAGAAAAUAAAGCAAAUUUAGCAGUUUUUUUCCUUAGAAAA
rnacentral:lncRNA from 1 species